UGUUUAUUAUGUAAGCCAAUCUGGAAAAGAAAACGACAUGUCUUCUUGUGUAUCUUCACUGCAACCAUUCCUAGAAAACCUAUGAGGAUGAAAGUACCUACAACCUAAACUGGAGCACAUACCUUUGCGCUUUGCUGAAUCAGGCCCUAAAAAAAUUCCUUAUCAGGACCAGAAGAAAAGAAAUCUCUCUGUUAUGUUUUUCCUGUGGCAAAGGAAAAGACAAGAUGAUGACUUUCCAGCUCAUUUCACUUGUACAACAUUCUCAUCAAUCACCAUGGGGCAUCUAAAUAGCAAAACCUGGAUCACCGAAUCAGA